rnacentral:rRNA from 1 species
GACGAACGCUGGCGGCGUGCUUAACACAUGCAAGUCGAACGAAGUGGCGAACGGGUGAGUAAUACGUGAGUAACUGCCCUCCUUUUUGGGAUAAUCCUUGGAAACGGGGUCUAAUACCGGAUAGUGGGGGAUGACUCGCGACGUAUCAGCUUUUUGGGGGGGUAGUGGCCUACCAGGGCGACGACGGGUAGCCGGCCUGAGGGUGGGAACGGGCACAUUGGGCUGCGGUACGGACCAAACGCCUACGGGGGGCAGCAGUGGGGAACAUGGCACAAUGGUGGAAACCCUGAUGCAGCAACGCGCGUGCGGGAUGACGGUUUUCGGGGUGUAAACCGCUUUCAGUCAUGACGCGGUAGUGGCAGAAGAAGCACCGGCUAACUACGUGCCAGCAGCCGCGGUAAUUC